rnacentral:lncRNA from 1 species
AUUCUAAGCCGUGGCUCUUUGCCUUAUGUCACUGCCCAUUCACUCUCCCAUCCCUCUUCAAUCUACUGUUUUAAAGCCUGAAAAUACAACUUAAGCAAGUUGUUUUUGUCCCCACAUUAAGGUAUAUUUAACAUAACAUGUUCAUAGUGUGUGACAUAAUAUUAUUUGCAGGUAAAUGACGUGAAAAACUCUCUUUCACAGGACUUUAAAGAGGGGUGUUAUGUGUUUUUUUGAGACUCCAUACCACCACUCUGAUACCUCCAAUAUUGGUGUAUUAAAAUAUCAUUAUUUCAAGCUCCGUCUGAAACACUGCGUUUUAGCUGCUUACACUUCUAUUGUUAAACAAAGACCUACUAGACUUUCUCUCUUCAUUGAGAAACCCUGAGAAAUUGUCAGAUGAACUAAGAUAUGAAAGCAGGACCCCUCUUUAUAGAACUUUUAAUGUUCCCUUGUUCCAGUGACCUUUGAUCUCAACGGGAUUUAUCUAAAUUAAAAAAGUAGAGGGCAUAUUUUUAUAAAGGUAUAAAAUCUUCUCUGUUUUUCUAUCACUCAUACCUCCCCCUCCUCCUCUACUCCAUAAGCUCCCUAAGUAUCAUCCCCAUUCUUAAGAUGAAGGUCAAGGUAGAUUUUAUUGUCCCAAAGGGAAAUUACUUCUGCAGAGAGGUUGCAGGAAAUACUGUCUUCUCAUGGAAACGAUAAAUAUUUCUUAAAGGUACAAGCUACAGUCAAUACUGAACAAAGGAAAUACACACACUUAAUCUUUUCACACAGUAACAUGCAUCCAGUUAAAGCCUUGUGGUUGAACAUGCUCAGAAAAUGACUGCAGAAAGUUAAAUAACACAAGAUCCUCAAAAUGUUGGGUUGAGGAAAAAGUUUUCAACUUAAAUGAUGGAAUCAGAAAAAUCAGUUUGACUAAAUUAAGUCAUUUCAAACAGCUGGAAAGUCAUCAAGAGAUGAAGAGAAAAGAGAAAACAUGACAGCAAAUCAUCGAUGAGAAAGGACUCUGUCAGACACAUUUUUGCAUUAAUUGAUUUUCUGUGUUUUUCAAAACAUUUACUGAGUGGCUGAGUGCGAUUCUGGAGAAAACUUUUUCAUUCUGACAGGGAUUCUCCCCCUGCCUGAACUGUGAACUCAUUUCACUGCUUUGACAGUCAAAGGUACAGAAAUGUGGCCAAACCUAUUAAUAGCAAGAAAGUUAAUUAGAUUCAAAGAUUAAUUAAGGGCUUAUCUAAUCUAUCAAAGGGCUAAAGAUAACUAUCUAAUUAACUAUCUGAGUGGAGAGCAGCAGCAAAGUUUGUCAAACAAAGAACUCUGUGGUUAGAUUUCAGUCUUAUCUUCUACCAUCACUCUUUCACUCCAUCUAUUGUUCUCUUAUCCCUCACUUUCACCCAUCCUCUUGUUUCUGUCUACUUCCCUCGUUCCCCUCAUACACUCUGUGCCCCGCUCCCCUUUCACCCUGAUGUUUAUUGAUUGCCAGAGUUCAUACAAGAGCAUCACUUAAUGUGCUUGCUUUCAUGUCCUGCCUUUGUUGCCGGGCCCGCAGCCCACAAUAUUGCAAAUUGAUCCGUCUCUCCCCACUGCCCUUUGUGUAGUGAACUAGUAUUACAUUAGCCCACGCUCUCCGAUUCAUGCUCCCUACCCCUUUCUCUUCCUUCCCCCUUUCUUUCACUCAUUCUGUCUCUUUCUAGUUGCUCUGAGGACGGUAUCGGCACGGAUAAACACUCGCCUGAGAGCUGAUUAGCAGAGCCACACGCCUGACUGGCUGCAUUGAUGAGCUCCUUGAGGUUUGAUGAUGUAGCCAAUAAACGGACACUUUUGAUUAUCUGACCUCUGACCUUUUGCUGUAACAACAAACACCCACCCUGACCUGCCUCUCCUCCUCAUCUCCUUCACGCCUCCUUCUUUCCAUUGUCCUUCUCAGGUGACGACUUGAAAAUGAGGUCAUGCUUGUGUGAACACAAACAACGGCAUUCAAGGGCAAUCACAGCCGACACUUUUCUAUGUGCUGUGCUGUCUUCAGUCCAAUCAAAAACUUGAAAAGCAAAUCUAUGUGCAGAAAAAAAGCCAUGUUGGGUAUGUCUGGAAAAAAACUUCUUCACAUCCCCAUGAGUUGUCUCAG